rnacentral:rRNA from 1 species
CACGUAGGGCGCGAGCGUGUCCGGAAUUAUUGGGCGUAAAGAGCUCGUAGGCGGCCUGUUGCGUCCGCUGUGAAAGCCCGGGGCUUAACCCCGGGUCGGCAGUGGAUACGGGCAGGCUAGAGGUAGGUAGGGGAGAAUGGAAUUCCCGGUGUAGCGGUGAAAUGCGCAGAUAUCGGGAGGAACACCUGUGGCGAAAGCGGCUCACUGGACCACAACUGACGCUGAGGCGCGAAAGCUAGGGGAGCAAACAGGG